rnacentral:misc_RNA from 1 species
GAUAAAUAAGUAUAAUUCUCUUGAAUGUAUAUAUAAUAAGUCCAAGUAAUAAUAAGUACGUUUCUCUUGAAUGCAUAUAUAAUAAGUCCAAGACAUAAUUAGUUCUCUUGAAUGCAUAUAUAAUAAGUCCAAGACAUAAUUAGUAAAAUAACAAUCACAAAAAGAGGAAGCAGCAGGGGAAUUCGUAAGCUGAGGGAGUAUAACCUUUUGUUAAAGGAUAUCAGAACAAUAAUGUAAAAUGGGAAAGAAAGCAAGGAAAUAGAGAGAAGAAGAGAACACAAGGACAAGGGCAACAAGAGAGUAGGGGUGUUCAGUCUGUUGGUUUGGUUACAAAACAAACCAAACCAAAAUAACUGAAAACCAAAUUAGAUGAUUUUUAGAAACCGAACCGAACUAGCAAGGAAACCGAACUCAUAUCCUCUAAAAUGCAAAGCCAAUAAUGAGUAAACAUGAAAUCAC